GUGCUUGCUGUGGCAGCAUAUAUACUAGAAUUGGAACGAUACGGAGAAGGUUAGCAUGGCCCUGUGCAAGGAUGACACGCAAAUUUGUGAAGCAUUACAUAUUUUU